GACGAACGCUGGCGGCGUGCUUAACACAUGCAAGUCGAGCGGAGAGGCGAACGGGUGAGUAACGCGUGAGUAACUGCCCCCCUCUCUGGGAUAACAGUUGGAAACGGCGGCCAAUACCGGAAAGUGGGGGAUGACUUGCGGCCUAUCAGCUUGUUGGUGGGGUAGUGGCCUACCAAGGGGACGACGGGUAGCCGGCCUGAGAGGGGGACCGGCCACAUUGGGCUGAGGUACGGCCCAAACUCCUACGGGAGGCAGCGGUGGAGAAUAUUGCACAAUGGGGGAAAGCCUGGUGCAGCAACGCCGGGUGCGGGAGUACGGCCUUCGGGUGGUAAACCGCUUUCAGCCAUGACGCGGUAGUGGCAGAAGAAGCACCGGCUAACUACGUGCCAGCAGCCGCGGUAAUAC
rnacentral:rRNA from 1 species